rnacentral:rRNA from 1 species
GGCGACGACGGGUAGCCGGCCUGAGAGGGCGACCGGCCACACUGGGACUGAGACACGGCCCAGACUCCUACGGGAGGCAGCAGUGGGGAAUAUUGCACAAUGGGCGCAAGCCUGAUGCAGCGACGCCGCGUGAGGGAUGACGGCCUUCGGGUUGUAAACCUCUUUCAGCAGGGACGAAGCGUGAGUGACGGUACCUGCAGAAGAAGCACCGGCCAACUACGUGCCAGCAGCCGCGGUAAUACGUAGGGUGCAAGCGUUGUCCGGAAUUACUGGGCGUAAAGAGCUCGUAGGCGGUUUGUCGCGUCGUCUGUGAAAACCAGCAGCUCAACUGUUGGCUUGCAGGCGAUACGGGCAGACUUGAGUAUUUCAGGGGAGACUGGAAUUCCUGGUGUAGCGGUGAAAUGCGCAGAUAUCAGGAGGAACACCGGUGGCGAAGGCGGGUCUCUGGGAAAUAACUGACGCUGAGGAGCGAAAGCGUGGGUAGCGAACAGGAUUAGAUACCCUGGUAGUCCACGCCGUAAACGGUGGGCGCUAGGUGUGGGUUUCCUUCCACGGGAUCCGUGCCGUAGCUAACGCAUUAAGCGCCCCGCCUGGGGAGUACGG